rnacentral:lncRNA from 1 species
UCUGUAUAAUGUGUAUGUAAUAAAUCUGUUCAGCAAUGCUUUUUCAAUGUAACAGUGCUUAGUGUGGAAUAUUAUGCUUUGCUUUUUUAUUUUUACCUCCAAAAGUUUCAUAGGAGUACGGUUUCCAAUAAAUCUGUAUUACAUGAGUAACGUUGGCGAUAUAUAUCUAUAAAACAAGACUAAUGUUGGCAGUAUAUCUAUACAACAGGAGUAAUGUCGGUGGUAUGUCUUUAGUACGAGGAGCAACGUUGGCGGUGUAUCUAUAUAACGAGAGCAACGUUGGAGGUAUAUCUAUACAACAGGAGUAAUGUCGGUGGUAUGUCUUUAGUACGAGGAGCAACGUUGGAGGUAUAUCUAUAUAACGAGAGCAACAUUGGCAGUGUAUCUAUAUAACGAGAGCAACGUUGGCGGUGUAUCUAUAUAACGAGAGCAACGUUGGCGGUGUAUCUAUAUAACGAGAGCAACGUUGGCGGUGUAUCUAUAUAACGAGAGCAACGUUGGCGGUGUAUCUAUAUAACGAGAGCAACGUUGGCGGUGUAUCUAUAUAACGAGAGCAACGUUGGCGGUGUAUCUAUAUAACGAGAGCAACGUUGGCGGUGUAUCUAUAUAACGAGAGUAAUGUUGACGGUAUAUCUAUAUAACGAGCAACGUUGGCAGUAUAAUCUAAAGAACAAGAGAACAUUGCCGGUAUAAUCUAUAAAACAAGAGUAAUGUUUGUGGUAUAUCUAGUAAUAACUUUAUACAGCAUAAAAUAGCAUUUCUUUCACAUUCCAUGUCUCGUGUGUACUCGAUUGAUCUCGUGAACCGUGUGUCAUCCAACAUAAACCAUCACUCCCGGGUUACAUUGGACCCCUGGUCCCACUGAGGUCAUUGAUGUCGUCAUGUUUGGUCAACGUCUGUUCUGCUUAUCAAGGCCUACGAGGACACGUCAUACUAGCAACCUCUGUAGGUACGCCCAGUUAUGCAAACCUCUUCAUGACAGAGUGGGAAUCAACAGCCAUUUUUGGUGAGCAUGACUGGAAGGCAAACCUGGUAACCUAUUUCAGAUACAUCGACGAUAUGUUUUUUAUUUGGGAAGGUACUGAAAGUUCUCUUAAUCAGUUUUUAUUUUAUUUAAAUCAAAAUAAUAAUGGUAUAAUUUUAACUCAUGAAUAUAGCCAAUCUACCAUUCAUUUCCUAGACUUAGAAAUUUUUAUCCAAGAAAAUGAAGUCCAUACUAAAACUUUUUUUAAAAAAGUAUGUACCAAUAAUGUGAUAGACAUAUCUAGUUGCCACUACAAACCAUGGCUACAUGGAAUACCAAAAAGUCAGUUCCUCCGCUUAAGAAGAAAUUGCUCUCUCACUAAAGACUUUGAGGACCAAUCCUAUAUGUUACUAAAUAAAUUUUCACAGAAAAAUUACCCCAUUAAUAAUCUAAGUCAAACUAUCGAUAAUGUUAGGGACAAAGAUAGAUUGGAUCUCCUGUAAAACCUCGAAUAAUGCUCCAUCAUUGCCAAUUAUCUUUGACUUCAAUAACCAAAAUAAUGUUAUGAAGAAGAUUAUUAAUAAACAUUGGCAUAUAUUACAUCAGGAUGAGAUCCUAGCUGGGAUUAUCCCCGAAAAACCUCAGGUGAUAUUCAGGGGGGCACCCAGUUUCAAAUCCAUCCUUACAAAGAACUAUACCAGACAGAACCAAACUACCUCUUCUUUCUGCUCUCCACCUUUCCUUAACAAACCAAAAGGUUUUUUCAAAUGCAAUAAAUGUAUAGUGUGCAGACAUACGGAUGAUAGUAUCAAAUCUAAAACCACUUCUUUUAAAUCAUCCAUCACUCAAAAAAUAUACCCUAUUAAAAACUUUAUUCAUUGUUCCACUAAAAACGUCAUUUACCUAUUAGACUGCCCAUGUGGACUUCAAUACGUGGGCAUGACUACUAGAGAAUUAAAGACCAGACUAGCAGAACAUUGCCGCAAUAUCCGAAAAGGUUAUGAAAACCAUUCAAUAUCAAAACAUUUUUUAAUACACGAUAAAAAUCCAAAAUUCUUAAAAUGUAUAGGUAUUGACAUUUGUAACAUCCCUUGGAGAGGAGGAGAUAUAAAAAAGAUUUUAGGUAGUAAAGAAAUGGAAUGGACAUUUAUUUUAAAAACUCUUACUCCAUUAGGUCUUAACGUAGACUUUGACCUUUAUAACUUCUUAUGAUUCUGUUCAUAAUAUUUUA